UCAGUUUUUUCUAGCACCAAUAAACAACUUGUCGGAUGGAUAGAGACUAGGCCUUAUGGUGCCUUCGCUACUUAGAAUCACAAGAUUUUAUCGUUAUAAUCCCGAUUUCGGAACAGAUAUAGUACCCGUCGACGUUGCGGUAAUUUUUUAAUCACUAGUGCGUGGGACGUCUUUAAUCGAUUCAGAAUGUGGAAGUUACGUAAGAAGGUCGACAAAUCCAACGCGAUCCAACCUUUUUGCAAUAAUGAAUGGAAUUGUCCCACUGACAAUGUUCAAGCGAUGUGGAGUCAUCUCAAUGAGGACGAUCAGCAAUUAUUUAAUUUCAGCAUGGUUGGAUUUGACUGGACAAAAUAUUUAAUUGAUUAUUAUAUGGGCCUACGCCUUUACCUAUUUAAUAAAGAUGACGAUACUGUAGGUUUAGAAAUUAGUUGUAUCAAGUAUAAGUAUAAAAGUGUUACAGCACGUCAGUAUUUCCUGGUUAAUUUCCAUCCAUAUUAUUUGUCAGUAUUUGAGAUGUAUUUCGUACUUCAACUAGUGUCGUCUCGUGUCGAUUUGAGAUGUUUUAUAUAUUAUAACUCAUGUUACAUCGUGGUCCGAAUUUCGUGCGUUGGUUGAUACAAUACUGGUACGUUCCGGAGGCAAAAUCUCUCUUUUUCUGUGUGUGUGUGUGUGUGUGUGUGUGUGUGUGUGUGUCUUUUGAAUCAUAUUUUCUUUGAAAGAAUCAAAUUUAUGAAUAAAAAUAAUUAAUAAUAUAAGAUUAAUAAAAGGAAUCACUAACUUAUACCUAUUUUAUACUAAUAGGGAAGACCGGGGCUAUUCGUGACACUGCUGAAAUUUUGUCGCGGGCCUAACUUUAAAAUGCUUGCUGCUAGAAACCUGUAAUAUCAAUCACAGAUGUUUCUUAGUGUUCUCUAAGUACCGCAUUUGCGUGUCAACCAUUUUUCUCUCUCAGUGACAGAAAGUUUGAUUUCAAGUGCUCAAAGUAAAUUUUUUCAAAUCCCAAAAAUUUGUUUUUUUCGCCGAAUAAAAUAAUAAGAGAUCCGAAACGGUAAGUUGUAUUCAGUCACUCGACUUCACUAAGCAUAAUGCAUGAGUAGAUUUUAUGGUAUUCUUUCUUAUCUGUAAGUCACGGAUCAUGAAUAAGGAAAAAUCACACCGGGGCAUUUCGUGACACGAGCAAUCGGGGCAACCAAAAACGCCACGAAUAAGCGUUCAAAAAAAAAACUAAUUUGCAGGGGCCAGGGACGUUUUCGAGAAAUGGUUUUCCGUAAUCGAAUGUGAGCAAUGAAGGCAAUUAAUGGAACAGGCGUUACAUUUUUCCUAAUAAUUUUUUAUACAUAUAAUAUGUAAAUUCUGACAAAUAAAGGCUUUUUCAAAGUAUAAAGUAGAUAAAAAUUGCAAAAACAAAAGAAAUCUAUAUAGUUUGUUCAAUCAGAGAAAGUGUUACGCAUUAUCCCGUGAUUUGUCACGAAUUACCCAGGCUUCGGGACAAUUCGUCACACAUGACACAACGAUACAUUUCUUGAUAUAUUUCGAGACUCGUGAGAGAAAAACCUAUAUAUUUUUUUUCUUUUAAACUAGAGAGAUGGACGAUUACAUCGCACUAAUAAAAAUUUUUUAAACAUUUAUAUGAAGCAAGAAAAAAAUUCGAAACAAAAAUGUGUCACGAAUAGUUAUGAAAAAAAUUAUGAAAAAAAGGGUUAAGUAAUUAAUAAUUAAUGAAUCAUGAUAAUGAAAAGAUAAAGACGUCAUUAUCAUGUUAACAUAAUCUAAAUUAUGUCACGUAACGUAGAGAUGCGUACGCAUAAGUAUACAGCACGAAUUCCUAGAUUGUACCGCCACGAUAUACAGAAAAUCUUAUGAUGAUACGAUUUAGGAAACUUGGUAGAUUUUAUAAAAAUAUCGAUUUAAUUAUUAUAAUAAUUGCAAAUAUGUAUAUGCAAA